AUAUACAUCUAAUCUCACUGAUACUUUGACAGAGUGACGAAAGUCCAAAAUUUUGUUAAAAUGAGAUUUUUGGCUGCGUUCUAGAACUUUUGAUUUUCUGUCGACUGGUGAAAAGCAUAUGUCGAUAUCUCUAAUAGAUUCAGCGUAGGAAAAUACUUCAAAAUGACGAAAGUCCAACUGUACUUUGACAAAAUGACGAAAGUCCAGCCGUACUUUGACAAAAUGACGAAAGUCCAACUGUACUUUGACAAAAUGACGAAAGUCCAGCCGUUCUUUGACAAAACGACGAAAGUCCAACCGUACUUUGACAAUAUGACGA